CGCGGCUCCCGCCGCCGCCCCACAGAGAACGCAGCGCCCGCGGCGGGAGCGGCGCCACGCGGGCCACGGCACCAAAGAGCCCCGGCAGCAGCUCCGGCCCGGUAGCUCCGGCCCAGUAGCUACAGCCCACCGUGCCGCCCGCCGUACCCACCGCGCUCCGCGGCCGCCACCACACACUCACAAACCCGGGGCCGCGCGCUGCCCCAGCAGCGCCCGCGAUGGGCAGCGAGAGCAGGCCCGGGCCCGCCCCCUCCGGUACGGCCCCGCCUCCCGAGCCGGUGGCGCGCGGCCGCCGUGAGGGGGUCGGGCGGCCCCAGGGGCCUGAAGAGGAGCAGCGCGUCAUGGCACGGCAGGCACGUCUCAGUGAGCGGAAUUAUUCUAACGAGCCGUCAUUUGACCUUAGUGUUAGUUAUGGGCAGGAACUACCCACACAGAUGUUGAUGAUUUUUUAAUUGCAUUGGAUGAUAGAAACUGGAAAAAAGACUGACCCAACCAAACUCAUUUCAAAGAAACUAUUAAACAGCCAUUAGAUGACAACAAUUCAUGCUUAUUUUCAUCCAAAGCUGAACCUCUACCCUGAACAGAAAAUUAUUACUUCUCAAAGCAGAUUUUUCUCAAGAAUUAAGAAUAGAAGAUUUAUUUUCAAUAUAAACUGCAUCUUUUAUUUGAAGAGCAAGAUGUGAUGUAUGCUGAUAGAUUUAAAAACUGCUCCAUCACCUCUCUAGGAAGCCUGUUGCAGGGUUUGACUAUUCUCUUAGUAAAGAAUGCCCAAUCUAAAGUCCCCUGAUGGAGCUUUGAGCCAUUCAAAUGUCCUGUCACACAGGACACAAGGUGAGGCCACAGCACCGCUGAGUGUGGACGGAUAACCAUCUGUGCUGAGCAGCUCUUUGUGCUGGGUUUGAUGCACCCCAGCAUGGAGUUCACACUCUGGCUGCCUGGGCACACGGCUGACUCACAUGGAGCUGCUGCCAGCCAGCACCCCCAGAUCCCUCUCUGCAGGGCUGAUCUCCAGCCACUCCUCUCCCAGUCUGUACUAGUGCAGAAUCUGGCAUUUUCCUCCCAUCAGUCAUUGUCCAAACCCCUGACCUAUCUAGAUCUCUCUCCCAAUGUCUUCUGUUCCUCAAGAGAGUAAACAACACCCCCCAGUUUGGUAUAAUCAAUAAACCUGCUAAUGAUGCAUUCA
rnacentral:lncRNA from 1 species